UCUUCUCUCUCUAUACUAUUCCAAUUUCCAAUCCACCAUCCGAUAUAUACCCCGUCCUCCACUUCUGUUUUCCCUCGAUCUCCUUCAAAAUAAACCGCCAUUGCAUCAUAGUGUUCAUCUGUCACUCCACCAUGAGGCAAGACGGGAGCCCAUUGGACCUCAACAACUUGCCGGAGGAGUACGGCAAGCAAGCGGCAGAGAGCUCCACGACCACCGCCACAUCAAGCGUUCAUGCAGUUAUUAGGCCAAAGAAGACGAAGAGCGGUAGAGGGAAGGAUGCUGCUGCGAAGGUGUAUGAGUGCCGGUUUUGCUCCCUCAAGUUCGGCAAGUCUCAAGCGCUUGGUGGCCAUAUGAACCGCCAUCGACAAG